rnacentral:rRNA from 1 species
AUACGUAGGGGGCAAGCGUUAUCCGGAUUUACUGGGUGUAAAGGGAGCGUAGGCGGCAAGGCAAGUCUGAUGUGAAAACCCGGGGCUCAACCCCGGGACUGCAUUGGAAACUGCUUAGCUAGAGUGUCGGAGAGGUAAGUGGAAUUCCUAGUGUAGCGGUGAAAUGCGUAGAUAUUCGAAGGAACACCGGUGGCGAAGGCGGCUACCUGGACCGAUACUGACGCUGAGACGACGAAAGCGUGGGGAGC